UUAUUUUCAAAGCGUUUCCGAUCAGUCAAAAUCUUAGUAGAGCGUGAAAGAAGUGUCUAAAUUUUUUUGUAGUUUAAAUGUUUAAAUUUUACUUUUAUUCAUUUAGAAAUGUUGAAAAAUAAGAAUUGAACGCCUGUGAAACGCGCUCUGUUAAAAAAUUGCUUUAUGAGGGCAAAACUUAUGUCGAAGACUUCAAUAUGCAUAGAUACUCAAGGAAGAUUCCAUUUGCGGCUGCUACAGAGGGGCCUACGAUCCAUAAAAAGUGACGUUAUUGCCAUAAAUGCAUGUUGAACAAAGACUUUGAUUCGCUAAAGGAAAUUUUAAUUAGUCUUCUACAAAAUAGCGGAACAUUUUAUGGUCGGACGAAACGAAGAUUGUUAAGUAUGACGGAAAAGGAUCACGUCAAUAUGUAAGACGUCCGCCCAAUACCGAAUACCAGCCGAAAUAUACAACUAAAACGAAAAUCGUGCAAAAUUGUCAGUGAAGAAAUUCAACUAGUUUGGACGUCACAACGAUUCCAAGCACACAAGUGAAGUUGGUAAAAGGUGGUUUGGGAAACGAAAGACAAGGUAAUGGAAUGGCCGCCACAGCCAGUUUGUGGGCUGACGUCAAGGAGACAGUAGCCCGACAUCGACCACUCAACUAUGGCAGACUGUGAAGAACGCAUGGGAGACAAUUUCCAUCGAAAGAUGUCAAAAACUCGUUGAGUCAAUGCGCUGCAAUAUUAAAAAAUAAAGGUCGCGCACUAAAUACUAAUUUCACAAAAAGACAA